AGAAACUGGAAGCAGCCUCUCUACUUUGGUAGAGGGUGUGAUUCUAUGAAGUAUAUGAGGAAGACAUACAUAGGGUAAAUGUGGACAAUAAUCCAUGAAAGUCCCUUAGCCACCGGAGCAAACGAGAUUAAGUAUCUAAUGUAUAAGUGCGGAAAUUCUUAUACACUAGCAAUCAACAAUAAGAACACGAAUAUGAAUAAACUGGAACUGUAAAGUUCUAUCAUGGUGGUGGAAGAAUUUAACGCAUUCUUGCCGCUUCAUCGUGUGUAGUUAAUAGGGUUAAUUAGUAGGGUUAAUUACUUUUGUUAACUAAACUACAUAUAUUUGAUAAUGACUUUACGUAAAAGAAAGAUCUAUAUCUAUAUACAUAUAAAGUUGUGACCUUGAAGGUGGUUUAGCCCCUCUCUUUAUGAUAUUAAUUAAAGAUUUCAUUAAUA